rnacentral:rRNA from 1 species
AACGAACGCUGGCGGCAUGCCUAACACAUGCAAGUCGAACGAGACCUUCGGGUCUAGUGGCGCACGGGUGCGUAACGCGUGGGAACCUGCCCUUAGGUUCGGAAUAACUCUCCGAAAGGGGUGCUAAUACCGGAUAAUGUCUUCGGACCAAAGAUUUAUCGCCUUUGGAUGGGCCCGCGUUGGAUUAGCUAGUUGGUAGGGUAAAAGCCUACCAAGGCGACGAUCCAUAGCUGGUCUGAGAGGAUGAUCAGCCACACUGGGACUGAGACACGGCCCAGAAUCCUACGGGAGGCAGCAGUGGGGAAUAUUGGACAAUGGGCGAAAGCCUGAUCCAGCAAUGCCGCGUGAGUGAUGAAGGCCUUAGGGUUGUAAAGCUCUUUUAACCGGGAUGAUAAUGACAGUACCGGGAGAAUAAGCUCCGGCUAACUCCGUG